GUCGCUCCAUCUCUUUCGUGGACACUACCGUUUUCCUGUGGGUGGUCAGUGGCAUUUGGGCGCGAGUGAGGGACUUCUUCGAAUGUAACAAAUUUAAGGCGAGGUAGUACUUCUGCUGCUCCCCUAAAAUGGCACCUGUAAGGAGGAUGAUGUCAUCGAGCUGUACACCAAUGAAAGGAGUGCAAAGGACACUGGGACACUAUUUGGAGUUAAAAACCCCUUAAAACAACAUGCCCAAAUAGCAUCUGGAACUGAAAAUUGUGUUCCCAGGUUGGGAAAACAGCGCAGAACACGAAUUUAUCAUCCUGAGUUGCUUUGUUCCAUCGCCAUGACCUGAACAGCACCCUACCAACAUGACUUCCCCCUUGACUACAAGCCAGAACAGUCUUCCUACAGACCCUGUGAGGAUGGAAGGCCCAGCUCUGCAUGAGGACAAAGCUGCACUCCUCUUCUUUCGUUUUGUCCAAUGGGAACAGCAGUGGUGUGCGCAGCCCUUCAGGUUCACCGCCCAAAGCUGACCUCUAAUAAAGGCCUUACUAAAGA